rnacentral:snoRNA from 1 species
UUUUUUAUUGGUGGCAAUGCUCAUAGUAUAAAGUAAAAUUGCCAUGAUAUGGAAAGGGAGGAUUUGUGUCCUCCUUUGUGAAGUGGCUGAAAAAUUAGUA